CCUGUUUUACAAAAACAUGUCUUUUUGAGUUAUUUUUAAAGUCUGACCUGCCCACUGAAGUUAUUUAAAUGGCCGCAGUAUUCUAACUGUGCAAAGGUAGCAUAAUCAUUAGUCUUUUAAUUGAAGGCUGGUAUGAACGGUUGGACGAGGUAUAAGCUGUUUCAUAUAAAUUUAUAAUAGAAUUUUAUAUUUUAGUCAAAAAGCUAAAAUUUAAUUAAAAGACGAGAAGACCCUAUAAAUCUUUAUACUUUAUGUUGUUUAAAUUUUUUAGAUUGAUUUUAUUUUUAUAGUUUGAGGUAUUUUGUUGGGGUGAUAUUAAAAUUUAAUGAACUUUUAAUUAUUAAAAAUCAUUAAUUUAUGAAUUAUUGAUCCAUUAGUAGUGAUUAUAAGAUUAAGUUACUUUAGGGAUAACAGCGUAAUUUUUUUGGAGAGUUCAUAUCGAUAAAAAAGUUUGCGACCUCGAUGUUGGAUUAAGAUAUAUUUUUAGGUGUAGCCGCUUAAAU
rnacentral:rRNA from 1 species